UGAGGCUAAGCAGCCUAACUCUACUAUCUGUAAGUGCGCUCGUGUCCAGCUGGUGAAGAACGGGAAGAAGAUUGCUGCCUUUGUGCCAAACGAUGGUUGCCUGAACUACAUCGAGGAGAACCAUAGGGUGCGAGAGCGGGGAAGGGAGCGACGGUGGUGCAUGGUGAAUAAGCAGGUGAGAGCUGAGAGACGAUAGAGAUGAGCAAACUAGCAGGAACAAGAAUGAACAAAGAACUUAAUGAUUGUGAAUUCAAUCAGAGAAAACAUUUCUUUUUAUGGCCAUUGUUCCUUUGGAACGA